rnacentral:rRNA from 1 species
UACCAGCACCCCGAGUGGUCGGGACGAUUAUUGGGCCUAAAGCAUCCGUAGCCGGUCCUGCAAGUCUUCCGUUAAAUCCAGCUGCUCAACAGAUGGGCUGCGGAGGAUACUACAGGGCUAGGAGGCGGGAGAGGCAAGCGGUACUUUAUGGGGUAGGGGUAAAAUCCGUUGAUCCAUAGAAGACCACCAGUGGCGAAGGCGGCUUGCCAGAACGCGCUCGACGGUGAGGGAUGGAAAGCUGGGGGAGCAAACCGG